UUAGAUGCAACUGUGGUCGCAAUGGUUGAAACUUCAUCUGACAUCAAAGAAAAUGCAUCGGUGACGAAACAGCAACUCGUGAAUGAAGUCCGCGUUCUUAAAGAUCAGUUAAACGUUCCUACAAUCUAUUUCCUUGCACGCCUUACUUCUGAUACAACCAUACCUACUCACCAGGCUGUAAUCUUCCCGCAUGUGGAGGUCAACGAAGGUCAAGGUUAUGAUCCUGCUACUGGAAAGUUCACCGCCUCAAUCCCCGGCAUGUAUCUGUUCUCGUUUCAAUACUGUAAUCAAUAUAAGCAAAAUGUUUAUUUUGAAAUCGUUCACCAAAGCAAGACAAUACAAAGGUCCUCAUACUAUGAAAACAGUGGACAUUAUCCGUGUGUUACUAUGCAGGCAUCUACAUUUGUUGCCAUGGCAGAAGAGGUCUUGGUGCGUGCCUUUUCUACAAUCUUUUUGUCUGCAGAUUCAUACAGAUAUUAUUCAUUUUCAGGCACAUUGAUUCAUGUUUAAGAAACAGAUAUGGGACAUAACAUGAAUUCUUGUCGGCGAUAUAAAUAUAAAAAAUUGACAAACAAUGUAUACAGUAAUACAUAUUAUUUUAUCAUAAACGUGUACAUAAAUGUAAUAUUGUAACAGCAGAUGUCGUCAGUUUUAUUUUAUUAUCACUGAACAAUUCAAUAAGAAGUUAAUCGUGUUUAAUGUUUAUAUUUCAAUAACUUUUAUUUCGUCGCUGAUAUAGUGUUAUUUUGACAAGAACAGAAAUCGCAUAUCUUCCGAACAUCGAUUACAUGACGGAGAAAUGAAGCAAUUUUAAUUCAUCUACUCGAUGUUUAAAACAUGAAGUCGUUAUCCGUGUUCCUGCAUAAAGUCUUUUUUCAUGUGUCUGUUUAGUUACCAAGUUUAGUUUGCAUGUAUAUGUGGCAAAAAUCUAGUGUAUAUAUUGGAAUUGGAAUUUUUAUCUCUUAGCGUUAAACAUAAUGUAAAUAAAUAUUUGAAAAAAAUG